UACGUAGGGUGCGAGCGUUGUCCGGAAUUAUUGGGCGUAAAGGGCUCGUAGGCGGUUUGUCGCGUCGGGAGUGAAAAUCCAGGGCUUAACUCUGGACUGGCUUCCGAUACGGGCAGACUAGAGGUAUGCAGGGGAGAACGGAAUUCCUGGUGUAGCGGUGAAAUGCGCAGAUAUCAGGAGGAACACCGGUGGCGAAGGCGACAUCCUGGACCGGUAUUGACGCUGAGGCGCGAAAGCCAGGGAGCAAACGGG
rnacentral:rRNA from 1 species